rnacentral:rRNA from 1 species
UGGGGAAUAUUGGACAAUGGGGGCAACCCUGAUCCAGCCAUGCCGCGUGAGUGAUGAAGGCCCUAGGGUUGUAAAGCUCUUUCAGCGAGGAGGAUAAUGACGUUACUCGCAGAAGAAGCCCCGGCUAACUUCGUGCCAGCAGCCGCGGUAAUACGAAGGGGGCUAGCGUUGUUCGGAAUCACUGGGCGUAAAGCGCACGUAGGCGGAUUGGUCAGUUAGGGGUGAAAUCCCAGAGCUCAACUCUGGAACUGCCUUUAAUACUGCCAGUCUUGAGUCCGAGAGAGGUGAGUGGAACUCCGAGUGUAGAGGUGAAAUUCGUAGAUAUUCGGAAGAACACCAGUGGCGAAGGCGGCUCACUGGCUCGGUACUGACGCUGAGGUGCGAAAGCGUGGGGAGCAAACAGGAUUAGAUACCCCCGUAGUCC